UACAGAGGAGCCAAGCGUUGUCCGGAUUGACUGGGCGUAAAGCGCACGCAGGCGGACGCGCGCGUGGGGUGUGAAAUCUGGCCGCUUAACGGCCAGGCGCCAUCCCAUACGGCGUGUCUGGAGUGAUGCAGAGGUCGGUGGAAUUGCCGGUGUAGUGGUGAAAUGCGUAGAGAUCGGCAGGAACACCCAGGGGGAAACCAGUGGACUGGCACGGUGCUGACGCUCAGGUGCGAAAGCGUGGGGAGCGAACCGG
rnacentral:rRNA from 1 species